UAAGGAAUAUUGCGCAAUGGGCGACAGCCUGACGCAGCGACGCCGCGUGGGGGAUGAAGGUCUUCGGAUUGUAAACCCCUUUCGGCAGGGAAGAUGGAACGGGUAACCGUUCGGACGGUACCUGCAGAAGCAGCCACGGCUAACUUCGUGCCAGCAGCCGCGGUAAUACGAAGGUGGCAAGCGUUGUUCGGAUUUACUGGGCGUACAGGGAGCGUAGGCGGUUGGGUAAGCCCUCCGUGAAAUCUCCGGGCCUAACCCGGAAAGUGCGGAGGGGACUGCUCGGCUAGAGGAUGGGAGAGGAGCGCGGAAUUCCCGGUGUAGCGGUGAAAUGCGUAGAGAUCGGGAGGAAGGCCGGUGGCGAAGGCGGCGCUCUGGAACAUAUCUGACGCUGAGGCUCGAAAGCGUGGGGAGCAAACAGGAUUAGAUACCCUCGUAGUCCCUGAGCGGGCUGGCAAGGCGCAU
rnacentral:rRNA from 1 species